rnacentral:rRNA from 1 species
GACAGAGGCCUCGAGCGUUAGGCGGAAUCACUGGGCUUAAAGGGUGCGUAGGUGGAUUAGUAAGUCAGUGGUGAAAUCUCCGGGCUUAACCCGGAAACUGCCAUUGAUACUAUUAGUCUUGAAUACCGUGGAGGUCAGCGGAAUAUGUCAUGUAGCGGUGAAAUGCUUAGAUAUGACAUAGAACACCAAUUGCGAAGGCAGCUGGCUACACGAGCAUUGACACUCAGGCACGAAAGCGUGGGGAUCAAACAGG